rnacentral:rRNA from 1 species
UAGGGAAUCUUCCGCAAUGGACGAAAGUCUGACGGAGCAACGCCGCGUGAGUGAAGAAGGCUUUCGGUUCGUAAAACUCUGUUGUUAGGGAAGAAAAAAUGUAUAGUAACUAUAUACAAAAGAGACGGUACCUAACCAGAAAGCCACGGCUAACUACGUGCCAGCAGCCGCGGUAAUACGUAGGUGGCAAACGUUGCCCGGAAUUAUUGGGCGUAAAGCGCGCGCAGGUGGUUUAGAAAGUCUGAUGUGAAAGCCCACGGCUCAACCGUGGAAGGUCAUUGGAAACUAAUAAACUUGGGUGCAGGAGGGAAAAGUGGAAUUCCUAGUGUAGCGGUGAAAUGCGUAGAGAUUAGGAGGAACACCGGUGGCGAAAGCGGCUUUUUGGCCUGCAACUGACACUGAGGCGCGAAAGCGUGGGGAGCAAACAGG